CCUACGGGUGGCAGCAGUGAGGAAUAUUGGUCAAUGGCCGGAAGGCUGAACCAGCCAUGCCGCGUGAAGGUCAGUGCCCUAUGGGUUGUAAACUUCUUUUAUAAAGGAAUAAAACGAGGCACGUGUGCCUUUUUGCAUGUACUUUAUGAAUAAGGAUCGGCUAACUCCGUGCCAGCAGCCGCGGUAAUACGGAGGAUCCGAGCGUUAUCCGGAUUUAUUGGGUUUAAAGGGAGCGUAGAUGGGUUGUUAAGUCAGUUGUGAAAGUUUGCGGCUCAACCGUAAAAUUGCAAUUGAUACUGGCAGUCUUGAGUACAGUUGAGGUAGGCGGAAUUCGUGGUGUAGCGGUGAAAUGCUUAGAUAUCACGAAGAACCCCGAUUGCGAAGGCAGCUUACUAAACUGUGACUGACAUUGAUGCUCGAAAGUGUGGGUAUCAAACAGGAUUAGAUACCCUAGUAGUC
rnacentral:rRNA from 1 species